rnacentral:rRNA from 1 species
CAGCAGCCUCACGAGCAUAUAAGGCAACCCUUCCCUCUCCUCUUGUCCACAGCCCCUACCGAGUAUGGAAGGCACAUGGCUCGAGCAUCUACAUGGCUCUUGAGAGCGGAAGUAGGGUCGGGAUGAAGCGCAAAGCUGAGCUCUCCUGCGCAGGAAGUGCUUCAGCUUUGCGGUGCCUCUCCUGACCUCCCAGGUGGUCGCCUGAGGUACGCAAGAAUCGGCAAGUCACAAAACGGCAAUGGUGAACUCCGGCAGGAGUCCACCCCCUUUUUAUCCUUUUCUCUCCAUUCAGUUGUAUCAGGUGGAAGUCGAAUAAUCGGAAGUCUGUGUGUGUGGUGAAUCCAUGGAUGCUUCAAGUCCAUGUUUUUCCCUCUUCCUUUAUGUGUACUCUGGAAACACUACUAUAAAUGGCUGAUGUUCAUCUAGCGAAACCACUUUAUGGUGUCUUGUUUGAUUCGCUUGUGUGUAGUCUUACUGGUUAGCAGGUUGUUACAUAUGCUGCUUUGAAACAAAUUGGUGUAUGCUGGUUGUGCAGAAUAGGGUGC